AUAAUAAAGAUAGAGAUAAGAUAAAGAAAGCAAAGGUAGGUGCAGCCUAAUCCUAGAUGGUCUGUGCUUAGGAAGAAUGAAAGUUUUAAUUGUUAAAAUACAGAGCCAGGUGAUGUUUCAUAUCACUGUGUGGUCAGAUUAUUAACAAUGGUGUUGUCAUGAGCAACAUCAUUAUUAUGUCUGAGCCAUGUGUAUGCAGGCUUCUUAGUGAUUCACAGUGAUAUCAUCAGUAUGGGCCAGGGGGUACUGGCAGAGACAAAGACUGAACCCAACAGAGGUAGGGCCAAAGAAAGCUUGUUUUUGAGUCAACAUUAAUCUCUACAGGAUCUAAACUGAGGAAAGCCCAGACUGUGUCCAUGACGGAACCCAAGCAAACAAUUUUAAUGAAGGGGAAAAGAGGGAUGGAAGAUGAAGUCUGGUGCCUAAUUUGAAGCAAUUUUGAGAUGUCAGAUAUCAACAUCAUUGGUCAGGAGGUCUGAGCUACCAGAGAUACAAGUUUGUAAGUUGUUGUGAUAUAAAUGGAAGUCAUUGUGAGAAGCAAUGAGCAAUCUCCCAGGCCAAGGAGGCUCCCACUCAGCCAAAGGUACUACUUCAGAGAAGGGGGCAGUGGAGAGCAAGUAGUAACCAGCAAUAGCUAGGGAAUUAAUACCCCAGUCAGUAGUACAGACCCAGGUGAGUACACCAAUAGUAUUCACUACACACAAAUCGUGAUUCCUGGAGAUUUGCCACAGAGGGGUGGGAGUAGAGGGAUCAUUUAUUUCUAAACUCCUAACCUGUAUCUUGGCCAUACAAGAAAUAACAGAGGAUACUUUAUGAUGGUAUCUUCUGCUUAGCAAUAGGUAUCUGGGCCAAUUUUCAUCAGACUUGUUUCUGAAACAAUCUGUCCCCACUCAAUCCCUCACUCUAGGCUCUUUUCCUGACUCUUAAUACCUCUUACCACUCAUAUCCAGCUGUAAAGCCACUAUGUACUCCACAGUCUGGCAAAAUAUCCCAUUUCCUCCCCAAAGUACAAAAUAUAUCUGUCAUCUUCAGCCUAAUUUAUCCUCUUCUUUCAUGGCAGUUAAUUCCUGUCACAGUCCAACAUUUAAUUACUGGUGGUGUUUGCUUUCAAGAUCUAUUGUUCUAUCUUCAUAAAUAGGCUGUGAGUUUGUCUCAGGUUGGGAUUCCCCAAAGGCAGAACCUCAGAUGAGGGUUUGAGUAUUAAGGAUGUGAUUCCAGGGAGCACUGACAAAGGAAUGAAGAAGUGAGAUAGGGACUAGUAGGCAGGAAGUUUGAGGCACAUUACUGAGGUGAACCACUGCCAGCAACUGGAACGUGAUUCCACUGAGGACCUCUGGGAGAAUCUGCAGAGCACACGUCAGAAUUGUUCCACCCUAGGGGUGAGGAAAUGGGACAUUUAUCCUCCAACUUUUGUCAAUCAUUGAGGGGUGCCUGGUGUGAAGCAGCUAACUCCCUGGUACUUCUGGGAAUGUACAGACCAAGUAUGUUCUGUCUACCAGAGAGUGCUCUCCAGCCAAAAGAGGUAGCUGAUUACAGUCAGAGGCCUUCAGAUAAUAUGUCAGCUGUGAGUGCCAAGGAGAUAUGGGUGGGACACUGACCCACCUCAGCUUCUGAUGAUAAGAAUCAUAUAUGUAUCCAAAUCCACCAUUCGAGUUUACAGGGGACAUGCAGUAACAUCUUUAUAGGUUUGACUGAUUUGUUGUUUGCUAAUGACUAAGAAGUGGUGUAAAUGGGGUUGUUAAACACAUAUUUAUAUUAGAGGUCUUAUAAAAUCUGAGGAGAGCCUAACACAAUAAGUCAUCAGGUAUUCCUAAAACUAAAUUUUAUCAAGAUUUAAUGCCACUGUAUUUGUGCUAUACUAACUGAUAAAAGUUGUGGAUACCAGGUGCUAUGAAGAAGUUUCCCAAAUUUGAUGGGUCUGUGUUUUGUUUUGUUUAUUGGAAAGAGGUCUAUUAGAAUUCAAUACAGCUUAGACCACCCACCACAAAGGCAGAUUCCUAAGUUUAACCUUUAGCUGCCAUGUCAUAAACUCCCAGUUCUCAUAUUCUUUCUUUAUGACACUUAAUGCAAUCUUCUGUCUAUAAUGUUUGCCACUUUCCUGUAAAGUUAGGUUGGCUCUAAGAGAAGAUGUAAUGCAGGGCUUCUAUCCUCUAUGUAUCACGAUCAAGUGUCCCUAUUUUAUAAUAGGAAAUCUCACAGUUCAAGUUCA